UUGCCAUCAAUGGCAGCAGUAUAGUUGCUGAACGUGUUGUGUCUGUAACCACACAGUCACCAGCAUCCCCAGCUCAGACCUCCAUGGCAUCAACGCUGACAGUGACAGAACCAACAUCAACACAGCCUUCUCCAGUCACAGCAGCACCUGUGCCUGAUCAACAGAUUAAAUUGGAAUUCAGGCUCCAACAGACCUUCACACCAAACCUGGCGAACCCCGCCUCGACAGAAUUUAAGAGCUUAGCUACAAAAGUUUCAAAAGUGGUAUGAAUAUGAAGCUUUUUGUUCCU